AGAGUUUGAUCCUGGCUCAGGAUGAACGCUGACAGAAUGCUUAACACAUGCAAGUCUUUGGCGAAUCUGUGCUUGCACAGGCUAGCCAAGGCGGACGGGUGAGUAACGCGUAAAGAACUUGCCCUGCAGACAGGGAUAACAGACGGAAACGACUGAUAAUACCUGAUACAAUUGCCAGCACGCAUGUGCCCGGCAAUGAAAAGUGAUGCUGCAGGAGAGCUUUGCGUCCUAUUAGCUUGUUGGUGAGGUAACGGCUCACCAAGGCGAUGAUAGGUAGCCGGCCUGAGAGGGUGAACGGCCACAAGGGGACUGAGAUACGGCCCUUACUCCUACGGGAGGCAGCAGUGGGGAAUAUUGGACAAUGGGGGCAACCCUGAUCCAGCAAUUCUGUGUGCACGAAGAAGGUUUUCGGAUUGUAAAGUGCUUUCAGCAGGGAAGAAGAAAGUGACGGUACCUGCAGAAGAAGCGACGGCUAAAUACGUGCCAGCAGCCGCGGUAAUACGUAUGUCGCAAGCGUUAUCCGGAAUUAUUGGGCAUAAAGGGCAUCUAGGCGGCCAGACAAGUCUGGGGUGAAAACUUGCGGCUCAACCGCAAGCCUGCCCUGGAAACUGUUUGGCUAGAGUGCUGGAGAGGUGGACGGAACUGCACGAGUAGAGGUGAAAUUCGUAGAUAUGUGCAGGAAUGCCGAUGAUGAAGAUAGUUCACUGGACGGCAACUGACGCUGAAGUGCGAAAGCUGGGGGAGCGAACAGGAUUAGAUACCCUGGUAGUCCCAGCCGUAAACGAUGAUUACUGGGUGUGGGCAUGAAGAGUGUCCGUGCCGAAGCUAAUGCGAUAAGUAAUCCGCCUGGGGAGUACGGCCGCAAGGCUGAAACUCAAAGGAAUUGACGGGGACCCGCACAAGCGGUGGAGCAUGU
rnacentral:rRNA from 1 species